GACGAACGCUGACGGCGUGCUUAACACAUGCAAGUCGAAGGGAGUGGCGAACGGGUGAGUAACACGUGGGUAACCUGCCCUUUUCUUUGGGUUAAGCCUGGGAAACUGGGUUUAAACCUGGAUGGGUUGUGCUGGGCUUGCGGCUUAUCAGCUUGUUGGUGGGGUGAUGGCUUACCAAGGCUUUGACGGGGUGCCGGCCUGAGAGGGUGGUCUGUCACAGUGGGACUGAGAUACGGCCCAGACUCCUACGGGGGGCAGCAGUGGGGGAUAUUGCACAAUGGACGAAAGUCUGAUGCAGCGACGUCGUGUGGGGGAUGAAGGCCUUCGGGUUGUAAACUCCUUUCGCCCGCGGAAUGGUAGUGGGUAAAGAAGCGCCGGCUAACUACGUGCCAGCAGCCGCGGUAAUAC
rnacentral:rRNA from 1 species